rnacentral:rRNA from 1 species
AUUGACCGCUGGCGGCAGGCCUAACACAUGCAAGUCGAACGAGUGGCGGACGGGUGAGUAAUGCUUGGGAAUCUGGCUUAUGGAGGGGGAUAACGACGGGAAACUGUCGCUAAUACCGCGUACCAUAGGAUGAGCCCAAGUGGGAUUAGGUAUUUGGUGGGGUAAUGGCCUACCAAGCCGACGAUCUCUAGCUGGUCUGAGAGGAUGACCAGCCACACCGGAACUGAGUCCCGGCCCGGACUCCUACGGUAGGCAGCAGUGGGGAUUAUUGCGCAGUGGGGGCAACCUGACGCAGCCAUGCCGCGUGAAGGAAGAAGGCCUUCGGGUUGUAAAGUUCUUUCGGUGACGUGGCGUUAGUCACAGAAGAAGCACCGUCUAUCUCCUUGCCAGCAGCCGCGGUAAUUC